GAACGCACAUUGCGCCCUAUAGCAUUCUGUAGGGCAUGCCUGUCUGAGCAUCAUAAUAUCUACUCAGAUCUUUGAUUAUUUUAUAUAGUCUUGGAUUUGGAUUUAAUCAGAGAAGUAACCUAUAUGAGUAGAUUACUCUUUGGAAAAAUAAAGGCAGUUAUAGUGAAACCUGUAUUAAACGUGAUAUUAAAAAGUUUCGUUUUUAAGGACUACAUCUUUGACUUGCCUUUAACCCACUUAAUUCUUUUUGAUUGACCUCAGAUCAGGUAGGGAUACCCGCUGAACUUA
rnacentral:misc_RNA from 1 species